GAGUUUGAUCCUGGCUCAGGACGAACGCUGGCGGCGUGCUUAACACAUGCAAGUCGAACGAGAAUCUGCGGAAAGAGGAUUCGUCCAAUUGAAGCAGAGGACAGUGGCGGACGGGUGAGUAACGCGUGAGGAACCUGCCUUUCAGAGGGGGACAACAGUUGGAAACGACUGCUAAUACCGCAUGACACAUUGAGGUCGCAUGGCCUUAAUGUCAAAGAUUUAUCGCUGAAAGAUGGCCUCGCGUCUGAUUAGCUAGUUGGUGAGGUAACGGCCCACCAAGGCGACGAUCAGUAGCCGGACUGAGAGGUUGAACGGCCACAUUGGGACUGAGAUACGGCCCAGACUCCUACGGGAGGCAGCAGUGGGGAAUAUUGGGCAAUGGGCGCAAGCCUGACCCAGCAACGCCGCGUGAAGGAAGAAGGCUUUCGGGUUGUAUACUUCUUUUGUCAGGGACGAGUAGAAGACGGUACCUGACGAAUAAGCCACGGCUAACUACGUGCCAGCAGCCGCGGUAAUACGUAGGUGGCAAGCGUUGUCCGGAUUUACUGGGUGUAAAGGGCGUGUAGCCGGGAGGGCAAGUCAGAUGUGAAAUCCACGGGCUUAACUCGUGAACUGCAUUUGAAACUGUUCUUCUUGAGUGCCGGAGAGGAAAGCGGAAUUCCUAGUGUAGCGGUGAAAUGCGUAGA
rnacentral:rRNA from 1 species